rnacentral:rRNA from 1 species
AUUGAACGCUGGCGGCGUGCCUAACACAUGCAAGUCGAGCGGUAACAGGUGUAGCAAUACAUGCUGACGAGCGGCGGACGGGUGAGUAACGCUUGGGAAUCUGCCUAUUAGUGGGGGACAACCCGGGGAAACUCGGGCUAAUACCGCAUACGCACUACGGUGGAAAGCCGGGGACCGCAAGGCCUGGCGCUAACAGAUGAGCCCAAGUCGGAUUAGCUAGUUGGUAGGGUAACGGCCACCAAGGCGACGAUCCGUAACCUGGUCUGAGAGGACGACCAGUCACACCGGAACUGAGACACGGUCCGGACUCCUACGGGAGGCAGCAGUGGGGAAUAAUUGGACAAUGGCGAAAGACCUGAAUCCAGCGACGCCGCGUGGGUGAAGAAAGGCCUGCGGG